CCGCCGCCAACGCGCAGGUGCUAGCGGCCCCUUCGCCCUGCAGAUAUUCCCACUCUGGCCACUGCCCAAAGGGGCUCUUAUCUGAGGAAUACUGCUGACUUCGUGUACCUAGUUUUACAGAGCCAUCUUUCUGAAGCAUAAAUUAGAUUACAUUAUUCUACAGCUUAAAUCCCUCCAUGAACUUCCCAUCACCCAAGAGUGGAUCUGAAACGCCUUAGAGUGUCAUUCAAGACCCUUCUGUAUGUGGCUGCCAUGCAUUUUUUUCAACUUUAUUUCCAGCCUUGCAAUGUACAUACAUCCAUCUCUGUCCCACGCCCUCUGCAGGGCUUUUUGGUUCCAGAACGUGCCAUGUGCUUUUCUCCUUUGGAGCUCUUUGAAUAGGAUGCCCUUCCUCCCUUGUCUGCCUGUAGAUAGAAAAAUCCUGUGCAUUGGUGAGUUGGCCCUGACCACCAUUUUCUUAGCAUGCUGAAUUACUUCUGUUCCCCUCUGUGUUUGCACAGCUUUGUUUGUGCACAGUAGACUUUUGGCUGGGCCAUGUAGACUGCCUCCUCCAUGAGUUUGCCAGCUUUUUGAGGACAAUGUCUGUUUUAUUCAUCCUCGAAUUCUCAGUGCCUAGCAGAGUGCAUAGCACAGGGUAGUUAUGCAAUACAUAUUGGAGUAAAGGAAUACAGUUCAAAAAAACAGUCUCAUUAACAGAUGCAAACCAACUCCUCUCAUGACGCAGAGAAUCUAAGCUCAAACAAAUUACCAGAGUUGGCAGUUGAAGUACUAUAUAUAGACAGAACUUAAUAAAUGCUUUUCUUUGUCUUAAGCCUUUGAUGACAGUGAUGUGUUUUUAUGAACGUAGAUAACCACAAGCAGAUGUGUCAAAGCUCUUUUGUCCAGGAAUAAACUGAGUUUCGUCAUCAUCUUGACAGUACUUUCCUGGAUGAGUGUUCAGGAAACAUGAAAAGUUUUUAAACAAUUCAACAAAUGUGUAAUAAAAGUUUGUUACCUUGUUUUAUUUGUUGUU
rnacentral:lncRNA from 1 species